GAAGCGUCGGUUCGGUUGUCUGUGGAUGAACAAGCAGCAUUCUAAAAUGUCAGGUUUUGAGUUGUCAUUGGGCUGGAAAUAUUUCUGGGACCUGGCAACCCUGCUCAGAGGCCAGUAUUACACAUCUGAGGUUCAGUCUGAGCAGGAGGUCAACAGAUCUGAGAGCAAUUGAUAUCUAUUUGAGAUCACAAUGAAAAAUGGGAAGAAGAAAUUGCUGGUGAGUUUUACAUUGAUCAAGAGAGUUUCUGUAAUCUGUGUUUGAGGAUGUGGUCUACUAAAAACCACCUGUGAACAACAUAAUUUUGUUGAGAGUAAGGCAGGACUGUCAUAAUAGUUUCAAAAGGGAACAUGGCGCUUGUUGUUACUGGACAGGGUUGUGUCUGCAUUCAGGAUGUGACUUUCUCCUUUUCUACAUCCAAUUGACUUUUAAUUAAUUUCUGUAAUACUUUUGUCAGGUCAAGUCACCUUUAUUUCUGUAGC